rnacentral:rRNA from 1 species
AUUGAACGCUGGCGGCAUGCCUUACACAUGCAAGUCGAACGGUAACGCGGGGCAACCUGGCGACGAGUGGCGAACGGGUGAGUAAUGCAUCGGAACGUGCCCAUCAGUGGGGGAUAGCCCGGCGAAAGCCGGAUUAAUACCGCAUACGACCUGAGGGUGAAAGCGGGGGACCGUAAGGCCUCGCGCUGAUGGAGCGGCCGAUGUCGGAUUAGCUAGUGGGUGGGGUAAAGGCUUACCAAGGCAACGAUCCGUAGCUGGUCUGAGAGGACGACCAGCCACACUGGGACUGAGACACGGCCCAGACUCCUACGGGAGGCAGCAGUGGGGAAUUUUGGACAAUGGGCGCAAGCCUGAUCCAGCCAUGCCGCGUGCGGGAAGAAGGCCUUCGGGUUGUAAACCGCUUUUGUCAGGGAAGAAACGGUCUGAACUAAUACUUUGGGCUAAUGACGGUACCUGAAGAAUAAGCACCGGCUAACUACGUGCCAGCAGCCGCAGUAACAC